CGAUGAUGACCACAGGAGCGGCAAAGGUGCCGAACAUGGUGAUCGGCGGCGGCAGGAAGUGGGUAGCCGGAGGUGCUACCUGAUUAGCUUGGUUGGCAUCUAUUCGAGAGGAGCACGGGGAAGAAGACCGGUUUCUUGGAGUUCAGGUUUGGGCUGUCCUUCCCGAAGAAGUACAUGUGUUAGUGUUUAUGUCUGUCUACUCAAAACAUUUUCUCACGUUAUUAUUCAUGCACUACCUAACUGCUGACAGAGCAGGCUGCUGUCUGGUUUCUACAUGUCUUCAUGCCCAGUGGUAUCCGCUUCCAUGCCGCCGAGCCUCCUCAAUUGCUAUGCUAUAGCUGACUCAGGAAUGCAUUCAGGCUGUUGUUGCUAACUUGAGAGAGCCCAUGAAAUUUCUUCAGACGAUGAAACAAAUGCCGAGGUUCUCAGGUUUAUUGAUGUUGGCAUAGUCUGUUGUGGUAAUUUCCUGCGGAUGCGAGCUCGGCAAGUAUUGGCUGGUGCUGGAGACAUACGUAAUCAAGUUGCUUAACUAAUUUUAGUACCAUAUAUUCACUUUUAUAUUAACAAUUUAUUUUCAUGUAAGUGUAUGUAUUGAAAGUCUUGCCUUGCUUAUUUGCAGAUCAUAUGCCUACAAAACUAAGGGAAUUCGUGCUUAAAAAAUGAGGCCAUUGUAUUUACUUGCAACACAGAUAAGAUUUUGUUUCCUUGCUGCAUUAGUUCACUGCUGCCUGGGUUGUAUCUACAGUAUUCAAGAUUCCUUACUGAUGUUCAAAUGAUUUUCUGGAUUGUUGGAUUCAGCUGACCUCAGAAUUCAGCUUCCAUUAAAGGAAAGGCUCAUCUCCAGAACUCAUACGGACACGGUUCAAGAUUACCCUAAAGAAAGGCUCCUCUGCAUAACUCAUACAAAUUGUUGGGAGUGCCAUUAUCUUUCAGUUAAUUUCCUACAGUACCAGUUACUAAUUCCUUUGCUGACUUAAGCAGAAAGAUCGUUUGCUUCAUGUUAGCUCCGUGGCUUCCUUUAAUCAGAUUUUUUUGCGGUACCCUACAAAAAUUGUUGUUGUGCUUUUGCAUUUCGUAAUUAAUUUGUGUGCCCGAGUAGAUCAGAGAAUAAGCUGGUGCGCCAAAGAUUGUCUGCUGCUCACUCCUGCAGGUAAUUGCUAUAAUAUUUGAUAUCCUUGCUUUACCUACAUAUUUGAUGAGAGUACUCUUCAGCAACGAUACACUACUUAGGUUGCUUCUUCGCUGAAUUAAACUGAGUUGUUUGCUUGCCCUAUCAACUGCGGAUUCAAUCAUAGUGCCUAUAUUGAACAUUGGAUAUAUAGUCUCACACAUAUUGCUUAGAAUUCUAGAACAAAUAUUAGUUUAGAUCUGAUAUUCACAAUAACCUCUAACUGGACCCAUGCAUACCAUCAUUCGCCAGUAAAUUUGCAAAAUCAACCAAUCAAGAAACUGAUGAUUUCUCAGAUAGUUUCUUUAUUUUUUCUGUUCUAACAGGACAAUUCAAAUGCAGUACAAGGGAGCAUUCUUUUUAUGGAGAAUAUCUUUCUUCCCGUCCCUUGAAAUAAUGAGUAAUAUGCAUGUAUAAAGGGACUUUUAUUUAUAAGAGAUGAGAUUUCAAAACUUCAUAUGCAUUAUACUUUUUACACCGGAUUCUGAAUUCUCAGUGAUUCUUAAUAGUUAUGUAUAUACGUAUAACAAUUUGGGUGUUUAUCAAGUCAACAUCCACUGGUGAUUUGCUAUUUCUGAAGCUCAAUUCAGGACCACGAUUUCUCCCCGUUUUUCCACUUCAGUCCUUUUCAAAGAACAUCGGUCAUCACGGCGAAGGUCGAUGCACUAGCUUACAUGUAA